GAUGAACGCUAGCGGCAGGCUUAACACAUGCAAGUCGAGGGGCAGCACGUCUUCGGAUGGUGGCGACCGGCGCACGGGUGCGUAACGCGUAUAGAACCUACCUUUUACAGGGGAAUAGCCCAGAGAAAUUUGGAUUAAUGCCCCAUAGUAUUAUUAGAUGGCAUCAUUUGAUAAUUAAACAUUUAUGGGUAAAAGAUGGCUAUGCGUUCUAUUAGCUAGAUGGUAAGGUAACGGCUUACCAUGGCGACGAUAGAUAGGGGUCCUGAGAGGGAGAUCCCCCACACUGGUACUGAGACACGGACCAGACUCCUACGGGAGGCAGCAGUAGGGAAUAUUGGACAAUGGGCGGAAGCCUGAUCCAGCCAUCCCGCGUGUAGGAAUAAGGCCCUAUGGGUUGUAAACUACUUUUAUUAGGGAAGAAAAACUUUGAUUUAUCAGAGCUUGACGGUACCUAAGGAAUAAGCACCGGCUAACUCCGUG
rnacentral:rRNA from 1 species